rnacentral:rRNA from 1 species
GACAAACGCUGGCGGCGUGUAUUAGGCAUGCAAGUCGUACGGACACUUCGGUGUCAGUGGCGGACGGGUGAGUAACACGUGGGUAACCUGCCCCGGAGUGGGGAAUAACUCGCCGAAAGGCGAGCUAAUACCGCAUACCACUCCCGGUGAGAGACCGGGUAGUAAAAGCAGUAAUGCGCUCUGGGAGGGGCCCGCGGCCGAUUAGCUUGUUGGUGGGGUAAUAGCCUACCAAGGCGACGAUCGGUAGCUGGUCUGAGAGGAUGGUCAGCCACACGGG